rnacentral:rRNA from 1 species
UACGUAGGGCGCAAGCGUUAUCCGGAAUUAUUGGGCGUAAAGAGCUCGUAGGCGGUUUGUCGCGUCUGCCGUGAAAGUCCGGGGCUCAACCCCGGAUCUGCGGUGGGUACGGGCAGACUAGAGUGAUGUAGGGGAGACUGGAAUUCCUGGUGUAGCGGUGAAAUGCGCAGAUAUCAGGAGGAAUACCGAUGGCGAAGGCAGGUCUCUGGGCAUUAACUGACGCUGAGGAGCGAAAGCAUGGGGAGCGAACAGG